rnacentral:lncRNA from 1 species
GAAAUAUGCCAGGAAACAUUGGAAUUGAUGCCUCAGCAGCUUACCCGAAGGUUUUGGUGGCGAUUUCUGCCAAGAAAGGGAUCCUCUAGCAGAAUCAUUUCUGAAGAUGAGAUCAUGAUCACCGUGAGUUCACCAGGGGUCAAAUCAUUUCUGAAGAUGAGAUCAUGAUCACCGUGAGUUCAGCAGGGGUCAANNNNNNNNNNNNNNNNNNNUCAGCAGGGGUCAAGCGAAGAACAAUUGUGAAGAUAAAACCAACUUCCAUUGCCAAAGGGAAGAAAUUGAGGGAUGCUGGGGUGCCACCAGGUCUACGUAACAAUCACCUGAAAGUCUAAAUCGCCUUAAACACCAAUCAAGUCAGCCUGACACCAACUCCUAACAGCCACCAUAUGAAGAGUUGUCCAUGACACAUCUAUCAAGCUUUUACACUUCCAAUUACGGCCACCGUCCAAGACGUUUUGUUUUAAAGAUUCACCCUUAGAACCAUCUACCAUUGCUGAAACAGAGGAGCUUGUUCGCAUAUAAGAUUAGUGCUAUAAAUACAUGGCCUUCUAAACCAUCAUAACACAACCAAGAAAAGUUGUAAUAUCCUAGAGAGAUUUGUUAGGAGUUUGUUUUGA